GAUGAACGCUAGCGGCAGGCUUAACACAUGCAAGUCGAGGGGUAGGGUAGCAAUACCUGAGACCGGCGCACGGGUGCGUAACGCGUAUGCAAUCUACCUUAUACAGAGGGAUAGCCCAGAGAAAUUUGGAUUAAUACCUCAUGGUAUUUUCGAAUGGCAUCAUUUGAUUAUUAAAGUUCCAACGGUAUAAGAUGAGCAUGCGUCCCAUUAGCUAGAUGGUAAGGUAACGGCUUACCAUGGCUACGAUGGGUAGGGGUCCUGAGAGGGAGAUCCCCCACACUGGUACUGAGACACGGACCAGACUCCUACGGGAGGCAGCAGUGAGGAAUAUUGGGCAAUGGUCGGAAGACUGACCCAGCCAUGCCGCGUGCAGGACGACGCAUCUAUGGUGUGUAAACUGCUUUUGUACAGGAAGAAACACUCCCUCGUGAGGGAGCUUGACGGUACUGUAAGAAUAAGGAUCGGCUAACUCCGUG
rnacentral:rRNA from 1 species